UUACUUUAAAGUUAGUAUGCUAUACUAUUAUACAAAUAUUCUAAUUCAUAGCAUUUACACAUGUAUAUAAAUCUAGUUCCGUUCACCUAUCAAUAGACACUUGUAUGGUUUCCAAGUUUUUGGUACUACAGACAAUGCCAGUGAUAACAUCCACACAUAUAUAUAUUGUCUUUUAAAGAUGUCACAGUUUCAUAUGGGUAUUUAUUUAAAAGAAGUCCUGGGGUAUGCUAGUAGAUAAAAAAGAAGGACAAAAAUGUAAUACCAAGUAGUGAGUGUAUUAUUGAUAUUAUAAAUCUAUAUAUUUAUUGAUUGGUUACCCUAAUAACUAAGCUUUUAUGGUUCUAAUUGGGAAGUGGAUGACUAUAAUAUUACAUCUAUGAAAAAUAUAUUUAAAAUUUUAAAUAAAGCAAAGUCAAAGGAUAAUGUUUGGGGCCAUAAUGUGCUUUUAAGUUGAGAACUGCUUAGCUUUUCAAUUUCUUACUCCAGAACUUAAUUAAUAAUAAUAGACUAGUGAAUAACUUUUAGAAAUAGCAUUAACAGGUGGCACAUUCAUCUCUAAAAUCCUAUACUCAGCAAAGGUAAGCGCAAAGAGAAUCCCAUUUCCUGGUAUGUAAGAGAAAUCAAGGAAAGAAGAUGGGAGUUAUUUUUCACUGGAGACUUUAAUCAUUGUUCCAAUUUCUGAGGAUGGAGGGUAAACUAAAAAUGUUGGAUAAUGGAGAUUCAUUAUCAUGACUUCAAGGAAAGAAAUUACUCUCCCAUAAAUUCUAGGUAAUUUGUCUUUCUCAGACGAUCUAGUAAUGAAUUUCCAUUUGUUUACAGCUUGGGUAAGAAAACACCUUUUUCACAAAUGGCCAGAGCAACUUGCCAUCUUGUAUCCAUGUUCCUUUAUCUGAAGUUUGUGUGGAUCCAGAAUGUUUAUUUCCUUUUUUGACCCCACAGCAGAUAGACCUGUGACAGAAGCUAACCUCCAUGGGCUUUUCUGCAUUGAUCUCUUUGUGGGUAUCUUCAAUACCAAAAGUCUUCGGGAAUCUGCACAAUUGGGUGGUACUUCUGAAACCUGAAAUAAAUACACAACUAAAUCCA
ensembl:lncRNA